AGGACGAACGCUGGCGGCGUGCUUCACACAUGCAAGUCGAACGGGGCUCAUCCGGUGGUAACACUGGAGAAGGCCUAGUGGCGAACGGGUGAGUAACACGUGAGGAACCUGCCCCGAAGACCGGGAUAACAGCGGGAAACCGCUGCUAAUACCGGAUGCCCCCACCGGGCCGCAUGACCUGGUGAGGAAAUGGGCUUCCGCUUCGGGAGGGUCUCGCGGCCUAUCAGCUUGUUGGUGGGGUAACGCCCACCAAGGCUACGACGGGUAGCUGGUCUGAGAGGACGACCAGCCACACUGGGACUGAGACACGGCCCAGACUCCUACGGGAGGCAGCAGUGGGGAAUCUUGCGCAAUGGGCGAAAGCCUGACGCAGCAACGCCGCGUGAGGAUGAAUGCCUUCGGGUUGUAAACCUCUUUCAAGCAGGGACGAUAGUGACGGUACCUGCAGAAGAAGCUCCGGCCAACUACGCGCCAGCAGCCGCGGU
rnacentral:rRNA from 1 species